rnacentral:snRNA from 1 species
CAAUGUGAGGGCAAUCUGGCUGCGACAUCUGUCACCCCAUUGAUCGCCGGGGUUGAUUCGGCUGAUCUGGCUGGCUAGGCAGGUGUCCCAUCCCUCCCUCAGCGCUUCAUGUGUGUCCCUCCUGAAGCUGCAUGCUCGAUGGAAGAGGAUGGCUUCCCAGGUAUAGAAGGAGUAUACUUUCCUUCACGUCAUCAGUC